rnacentral:rRNA from 1 species
CCCGGGUCUUGUACACACCGUCCGUCACACCAUGGGAGCGGGAUGUACCAGAAGUAGGUAGGCUAACCGCAAGGGGGCCGCUUACCACGGUGCGUUUCGUGACUGGGGUG